AAGGGCUUUAGCCACUAUGUUAUCACGCUGGGCCCAAAGUUGAUCAUUUUAAUACUGCUUUUUAAAAACCUUGGUUAGAAGAUGCACUUUAAGUUGUUUCCAAUUUAAAGUUCCCUCUGGUUGAGCGCUUUUAUCUGGCAGUGUGUAGUUUGACAAGGCAUUACUACUCGCAAUACUGCUGAUAUGUUUCAGGUUUCUUUCAGUACUGCAAGCUCUGAAGCUCUGAAGAGAUGUAUUUGUAAGUUAGAAAGUCUCAAAGUGAAAAGAGUGAGCUUACACUGUGUUCCCCACAAACGAGCAAUAGUCUGGGCGAAAAGGAAGAAGAGCAAUCAGAAACCUUCAUUUCUAGUUGGAGUGACAAGCUGUUUGUUUUUUUCUGUUCUGGUUAUUUUCCCUCCUAAGUUUAUUUUUAUUUACUGAUGUGUUAGUGAGAAAGAAGAUGUCCCCAUGUACUGCCUCCGGCCCCAGAUGCCUGUGCUAGGUUGGGCUGAGACGAAGCUGGGAGCUGAAUGCAGGUCUUUCCCGAGGAUGGCAGGAACCCAGGACUGAGCCAUCAUGGCUGCUCUCUAGGGUCUGUGUUAGCAGGCAUCGGGAGCCGGAGCUAGGGGCGACACCCAGCAUCUUAGAUGUGGGACACAGACGUCUUAACUGCUAGACUGAGAGCCACGCUCCACAGCGCAAACUUCAUGCAUUUGUGUAUUAUCCUUGUGUGGGGGAGCUGCUAAUCUCUGUGUUGGCUGGUUUUAUUCUCUGUAUUGUUCCAAGGCAGCCACUCCCAUUAUAUUUUCAGCUCAGACCAUUCUGAUGGGUUAAAGUAGAAAGGGUCUCAAAACAAUCCAGAUGGGAUUCUAGGUCCUUAAAGGAAACUCGCAUACCAUGACAAGGGGAGCUGUUAUGCCCAAGCUCAGAGGUGCCUUUUGACCAUAAGUUUGAGGGUCUGAUUUACCAGCACAUUGGAGGGAUAAAGCCAGAGGUCAGUAGAGGUCAGAAGGACGCCCUCAGGAAUGAUGCAGAAAGCCUGAGGAUGCAGAACCCCUCUGGGCAGAUUGAGCCCCAAACCUUAGAGGAAUAACCUCAGUAGCCUUCGGCCCCCUGGCAGCAUGGCGCAGUAGUGGCAGUGGCUGGAUGCUGCUGCUGGCCAGCGUCCUGAGUCAGGAUCUGACUGCACAGUCCCACUCAGGAGCAUCAGCUCCCAGCCCAGAGACUGCUUUCUGCUGAACAGGCCUCUCGGCCACACUGCUGUCAAGCGGAGAACUCUCCAUUUGGUGCCUCAUGAUUCGGGGCUCUUGGCACUGUUUGUUCUUGACUGUGCUGAAAAGGGAAAGUGUAAGAGUUUCUGGUUUAUUGCUUAGUAACUAGCUCUUGAGCUGCCACCUCCAUAAAAAGUUACUCUGCCAUUAACCUUUGUCAUUAAUUUACCUGUUGAGAUAAAUCUCCUUUAAAUGUAAGGUUGAAAGCUUCAAGGGCAUUGGAUAAUUCCAGAAGAUUGUAUAAUUUUCUGCUUGUCUUAGAGAUGGGUCUGAAAGGCAAAAGGAUGAGCAACAGGCUGCAUUAGAAAGAACCCGUGGCAGGACAUGUUGGAGAGAUGCUUGCAGACCUUUGCUCUGGGCAGCCCUUCCUCCUGUAGAUGUGGGGCCAGGCAAGGCCUGGGGGUCCCAAGUCUCGGCCAGGGAAUUUCUUGCUCAGUGUUCCAAGCUGAGUCUCAGCCCCUCCCUCUGCACAGCAGCACCUGCCGGUUUGUGGAAUCGUCACUUGCCUCACUGUAAUUCCACUUAAGAGUCCAGUAUUUCCUGGACUUUUUUUUUUUAAACAUUGGGUUUUCUUGUGUGAUCUAGCAAUGAAUAAAACAUAAGAAUUUGUUAUGUUAGUUUAUGUUCUGGUUGAGACCAUAAACAAAGACUGCCAUGAAUUAUAGUGCUAAGCAAAAAGGUGGGGGACAGCAGGUGUAGUGUGGCUGGCUGCUUUGCAGGUGUUGGUCACCGGGGGCCUGUGGUGGUAGCUCCAUCGAGGGAGGCACACAGCCAGUGCAGCAUGGGCCCUGCCUGGCACAGAGUGCCCAGAGCUCUGAAGGGCUUCGCUAGAGAGAGCCAGAAAUCAGGCGUGGCUGAGGCCUGCAGACACGCACCAGGGUGAUGGAGGACAGCGAUUCUUUGUCUUGGACUCGCUUGUCUCCAUUGAUUCGAGCAGGAUGAAAUCCUCUCGGGGCGGGGCUUGGUUUACUUGCACAGAGGUGUGUGGUGCUGCCGUGCAGAACACAGCUGCCAAGUGUACAGAGGGGCUCGGUGUAAGCUGGCACCCUGCUGUUUUACCAGCUGCUUGGCAGGCAUUCGGUCUUCCUGUCCGUGACCUGCAGAGGAGUACGUGUUUGGAGAGUAGUUGGAUUUAGGAAGAUAGGAAGACUUUGUGUUGAUGAAACAGAGAGAAGUAGAAGAAAUUCUUUGUAUGUGGUGUCGUGUGGCUAAGCGAUGGUCUGUGUGGAAACAGCGCAGGGUGUUCAGCUGCCUGAGAGGAGGGGCUGCGGCUGCCUGGGGCUCCAGGGGAUGCACUGCUGACCGGGAACAGUGUGUGCUGAGCUGUGCUGGGGCAGGGCAUAGCUGUGGAGAGGGAUGGUAAAGGACAGGGCUGCCCCGCUGUGCCCGUGCACCAGGAGGCCACCGGAAGCAGUAGCUCAUCCAGCGUCACCUCCUUCUCACACCCCUACACCUGUCCUGGCCCUAGCCUGCCAGUAUGGCCAUCUUCUUGGCCCUGCUGAAUGGGCUGGUCCACCCUCAUGAGUUGCUCCUUUUUGUUGUCAGCCCUGGUGCGAACCAGCCACAGCGGCCUCCUCCAUGGCCUCCUGCUUUCUUUCAGUGCCAAGUCACAACAGAGUUUCAGAGGCAGUUUCUGUUUCUGUUCCUCUGAACUCACCUCUCAGUUGCAGUGUGCUCACUCUGGACCAAGUAUGCUCCCCUGCACUGAAACCUUUCCCUUGGCUGCUCUCUUUUCUUCUGAAAAGCUAACAGUUAUGCAAAAGACUGUCUCUCCUACUCAGGCUGAGGAACUUUAUGUUACGCAUGUCUCGUGCGGUUGACCAUUGCCUAGGUAGGAGCUCUGACUGGGGCGGGCACCGUUGUCAUCUUACGUCAUCAGCGCCUUCUCAGGCCACCCUGUGCCUUUGGUAAACUCAAG